AACGGGUGAGUAACACGUGAGUAACCUGCCCUUGACUCUGGGAUAAGCGUUGGAAACGACGUCUAAUACCGGAUACGAGCUUCCACCGCAUGGUGAGUUGCUGGAAAGAAUUUUGGUCAAGGAUGGACUCGCGGCCUAUCAGCUUGUUGGUGAGGUAACGGCUCACCAAGGCGACGACGGGUAGCCGGCCUGAGAGGGUGACCGGCCACACUGGGACUGAUACACGGCCCAGACUCCUACGGGAGGCAGCAGUGGGGAAUAUUGCACAAUGGGCGAAAGCCUGAUGCAGCAACGCCGCGUGAGGGACGACGGCCUUCGGGUUGUAAACCUCUUUUAGCAGGGAAGAAGCGAAAGUGACGGUACCUGCAGAAAAAGCACCGGCUAACUACGUGCCAGCAGCCGCGGUAAUACGUAGGGUGCAAGCGUUGUCCGGAAUUAUUGGGCGUAAAGAGCUCGUAGGCGGUUUGUCGCGUCUGCUGUGAAAUCCCGAGGCUCAACCUCGGGUCUGCAGUGGGUACGGGCAGACUAAAGUGCGGUAGGGGAGAUUGGAAUUCCUGGUGUAGCGGUGGAAUGCGCAGAUAUCAGGAGGAACACCGAUGGCGAAGGCAGAUCUCUGGGCCGCUACUGACGCUGAGGAGCGAAAGGGUGGUGAGCAUACAGGCUUAGAUACCCUGGUAGUCCACCCCGUAAACGUUGUGCGCUA
rnacentral:rRNA from 1 species